CCCUCAGGUGUGGGGAAGUACGUGUUUGAUAUCGGCUGUGAGCAGCAUGGAGAAUACAUCCCCCUGGACCAGGAGCGUGGUGAGGGGGAGGAGGAGCCUGCUGUGGUCCAGAUGAGGUGGAAACCCAAAUCAAUAUCCAACCUCACUCUCUGGAGCCCCCUCAAGGACAGCACAGAGGAACAAAUUGACGGCCUGACAGAGCUGAAGAUGCAGGAGGCCUGAAGACACACACACACACACACACACACACACACACACACACACACACACACACACACACACACACACACACACACACACACACACACACAGAUAUGUAUCUUUUCAACAGUGGAAUGUAAAUUAAAGGCUAAAGUGUA